rnacentral:rRNA from 1 species
UCCUACGGGAGGCAGCAGUGGGGAAUAUUGCACAAUGGGCGCAAGCCUGAUGCAGCCAUGCCGCGUGUAUGAAGAAGGCCUUCGGGUUGUAAAGUACUUUCAGCGGGGAGGAAGGUGUUGUGGUUAACAACCACAGCAAUUGACGUUACCCGCAGAAGAAGCACCGGCUAACUCCGUGCCAGCAGCCGCGGUAAUA